rnacentral:pre_miRNA from 1 species
UCUUUUGGAUGAACAAAGGAAGUGGUUUCUUGGAACAGAAUCUACUUCUGGUGAAGAUGCUGGGAA